GACGAACGCUGGCGGCGUGCUUAACACAUGCAAGUCGAACGGAAAGGCCCUGCUUUUGUGGGGUGCUCGAGUGGCGAACGGGUGCGUAACACGUGAGCAACCUGCCCUUGACUUUGGGAUAACUUCAGGAAACUGGGGCUAAUACCGGAUAGGAGCUCCUGCUGCAUGGUGGGGGUUGGAAAGUUUCGGCGGUUGGGGAUGGACUCGCGGCUUAUCAGCUUGUUGGUGGGGUAGUGGCUUACCAAGGCUUUGACGGGUAGCCGGCCUGAGAGGGUGACCGGCCACAUUGGGACUGAGAUACGGCCCAGACUCCUACGGGAGGCAGCAGUGGGGAAUAUUGCACAAUGGGCGGAAGCCUGAUGCAGCAACGCCGCGUGCGGGAUGACGGCCUUCGGGUUGUAAACCGCUUUCGCCUGUGACGAAGCGUGAGUGACGGUAAUGGGUAAAGAAGCACCGGCUAACUACGUG
rnacentral:rRNA from 1 species